rnacentral:rRNA from 1 species
AUUGAACGCUGGCGGCAGGCCUAACACAUGCAAGUCGAACGGUAACAGGAAGCAGCUUGCUGCUUUGCUGACGAGUGGCGGACGGGUGAGUAAUGUCUGGGAAACUGCCCGAUGGAGGGGGAUAACUACUGGAAACGGUAGCUAAUACCGCAUAACGUCGCAAGACCAAAGCGGGGGACCUUAGGGCCUCUUGCCAUCGGGUGUGCCCAGAUGGGAUUAGCUAGUAGGUGGGGUAACGGCUCACCUAGGCGACGAUCCCUAGCUGGUCUGAGAGGAUGACCAGCCAAACUGGAACUGAGACACGGUCCAGACUCCUACGGGAGGCAGCAGUGGGGAAUAUUGCACAAUGGGCGCAAGCCUGAUGCAGCCAUGCCGCGUGUAUGAAGAAGGCCUUCGGGUUGUAAAGUACUUUCAGCGGGGAGGAAGGGAGUAAAGUUAAUACCUUUGCUCAUUGACGUUACCCGCAGAAGAAGCACCGGCUAACUCCGUG